AGGUCCGCGGUGGACUCAGCCGUCUUCUUCAGCCCCGCCCCCUUACCUGCGUUCCUCUCACCCCCUCUGAGCAAUCCCUCAGGGAGACACUCACUUUUUGCUUUCUUAUCACAUUAAGUCUGUAAGGUAACUACUGUCUUGGGGAGAGGAAGGGGGAGGCAUUUUCUCGGAAAGGACGGACGGAAGCAACAAAUGGGAAAGAAAACAGGCAACGCUUGUGAAACCCCAAACCGGAUUGCAUUUCAACCACUCUUCAUAAGGUGGGCAAGCCCACCCCCCGGUUCACAUUUAAAUUUGUUUGUGUGCCAAAUCGGCCUGCUGUUACAGCCUUUCAGCACUGCAACCCGCACCGCAGACACAGUGAAUGAGGAGAUUAAAGUCACCGAAAAACGA